CCAAAAUGAUGUAAAACUUAAACCCGAACUACCAUGUGGUUACAAAAUAUCGAGCUUUUUAACACUGAUUGGU